AUCAAAAGACACUCUUCUCCGAGAAAUUCCCACCUAAUCUCACUUCUCAUUUGCAAAAAUCACCACAGCUUCUCUCAACGCAUAACUCUCUUUUCAAAAAUCAUUUUGCAAUUGGUUGUUCUUGCUAUUUUGAUUUGGUUAAUAGCUUUAGCCGUUUAGGUUUGAGUUUAUGUUUUCAAAUCGAUUCGCAGUAUAUCUCUGCGAUUUUCAAUUAAAGUAGGCUUUUUAAAUAAAAAUCGAUUUGGGGUUAAUUGCUUAUGUCAACCUUUGCGUCUUCAAUCUAUCCAGGUAUGCAUCCACCAGAAAGAGGUAGUUUCCCGGCAAAGAGCUACUAUCAAAAUUUUAGAAGAACGCGAAUCCUUGUGCUCCACCGGGCUUUUCACUGCGAAGCCCCGAAGUGGUACUACGAGCACCUACACAACGAACCAGCCAACUCUCCACCCUGAGAAGAAAGAUGGUCUCUUUGCUAUCUCCGACUACCUUUGAGAAGGUGUUUAAGUGUUUGUUUGACUAUCUCGAUAGACUUUUGUGAUGGUGCUGCCGAGGAACUUCUCUAUAUGUCUAUUGGUUGCUGAAGAAGAACGGCUGUGAGAAGAGUUCGAGAGGGAGGGUAGAACGCUUCCUCCUAAAGUGGACACUCAAGUGCUUGAUCUUCUUUCCACAGCUUGAACUUUUGUUAUGUUUUUAGUUUUCACUUUUAAGUUUAGCUUCUUGUUUGUGUACUAGAAGCUCAAAAUCGACAUUUCUGUUAUGUUUUUGACAAUUUCAGAUUUCUAA